AAGAAUCAGAUGAUCAUCCUUUUGAGUGUUGGCGAGAGGCAUAAAUUGAUCAAUUAACUGGGAAUUUUCUGGCUUAUUUUCAGAAUCAUGGGAUGGGAUCUUUUCCAUCCGCCUGAGAGAACAGACAAGACUUUGUUGUAAUAGAUAACAGUGCAGCACUCCCUUGGUACCAGCUCCUGGAGUGUUCGAGCCCCUGGAGUGGACCUCAAGUGGAAGUGCUACCCCUGAGCUCCAGCUGAUGAACAGAAAAAACUUGCAUUUAGGGCAGUGGAUGUACAUUCCAAGCUGGCAGCUUUAGCUACUCCUGGCAAUCCAAUGGAGUCUCUACAAGGAAGGUUAUACCUCUUGCAAUCAGAAGCUCGGCUUGGUUCCAAGAGACUUGUUCACUUGCUCAAGACUUAGCUGCUCAGCCCCGGUGCCUGAAGUGGAAGCUGUUAAGGCCUGAACACAGAGAGAGAGAGAGUGAGAGAGAGCGCCCCACAACAUACAGGUGCCCUUGGAAAACCAGGUCUAAAACAUCUACUAGAAGAUCAGCCAUAAGCUGCUGUGCCAUGAAUGUAUGGGCCAACCCAUACUGGUCCUGGCUCCUGUCAUCUCAUCACCACUCGCUAUUCACUGGCUGUAUUUCAUAGUGUGUGUUCCUGCCUACUGACUGGAAAAUUCCCCUGGAGGAUGCCUCCCUGGAAAUGGUCAUAGAGGAAGAAUGAUGCUGCGGCAAUGAGAAGUGACACAAAUUCCAGGUGUGCCGACUUCUAUUCCUUUCUCCAGCCUCCCAGAAAUCCUGCCCUUACACUCCCUUCAUUCUUAUUUGUUCACAGGAUAUGGGUGAUACUGGCUGCACCAUCUACACUGCCAGGAGUCUCCAAGAUGAAUUUUGUGAUAUUUUUCACCUCUCCAAGUAUGUGGAACUGGCCCAAACCACGUCUUGCUGUAUAAGGACUCGAAGUGCUUCGGUAUCUGAGGAGUUGCAAAUGUUGCUGAACAUUGUGCAAUCACCAACGAACAUCCCCACUUCUUACCC